rnacentral:rRNA from 1 species
GAACGAACGCUGGCGGCGUGGAUUAGGCAUGCAAGUCGAACGAUCCCGCAAGGGAUAGUGGCGAAAGGGUGCGUAACACGUGGGCAAUCUGCCCCCGAAACGGGAAUAACUUCGGGAAACCGAAGCUAAUACCUGAUGACACCGAGCUGCCGCAUGGUGGCACGGUGAAAGGCGUCCGCAAGGGUGCCGAUCGGGGAUGAGCCCGCGGCCUAUCAGCUAGUUGGUGAGGUAACGGCCCACCAAGGCGAUGACGGGUAGCCGGCCUGAGAGGGUGGUCGGCCACAUUGGGACUGAGACACUGCCCAGACUCCUACGGGAGGCUGCAGUCGAGGAUCUUCCGCAAUGGGGGAAACCCUGACGGAGCGACGCCGCGUGGAGGAUGAAGGCCUUCGGGUCGUAAACUCCUGUCAGUCUGGAAGAAAAUCUGCAGCAAUGUGGAUUGACCGUACAGGCAGAGGAAGCUCCGGCUAACUCCGUGCCAGCAGCCGCGGUAAUACGGAGGGAGCGAGCGUUGUUCGGAAUCAUUGGGCGUAAAGGGCAUGUAGGCGGCUCUGUAAGUCGGGUGUGAAAUCCCAUCUCUCAAGGGUGGAACGGCAUUCGAAACUGCAGGGCUUGAGUUCGGGGGAAGAGAGCGGAAUUCUCGGUGUAGCGGUGAUAUGCGUAGAUAUCGAGAAGAACACCAGCGGCGUAAGCGGCUCUCUAUCCUGAAACUGACGCUGAGGUGCGAAAGCCAGGGGAGCGAACGGGAUUAGAUACCCCGGUAGUCCUGGCCAUAAACGAUGUGCACUUGGUGUUGGGCCGCGAGGCUCAGUGCCGAAGCUAACGCAUUAAGUGCACCGCCUGGGGAGUACGACCGCAAGGUUGAAACUCAAAGGAAUUGACGGGGGCCCGCACAAGCGGUGGAGCAUGUGGCUUAAUUCGACGCAACGCGAAGAACCUUACCGGGGUUUGACAUGCAGCUGCUCAUCCUGCGAAAGCAGGACUCCUUCGAGGGUGCUGCACAGGUGCUGCAUGGCUGUCGUCAGCUCGUGUCGUGAGAUGUUCGGUUAAGUCCGCUAACGAGCGCAACCCGCGCUGUGUGUUACAAGUGUCACACAGUACCGCCGGUAUUAAGUCGGAGGAAGGUGCGGAUGACGUCAAGUCAGCAUGACCUUUAUAUCCAGGGCUACACACACGCUACAAUGGUCAACACAAUAGGUUGCCAAGCCGCAAGGCGGAGCCAAUCCUCCAAAGCUGGCCUCAGUUCAGAUUGCAGGCUGCAACUCGCCUGCAUGAAGUCGGAGUUGCUAGUAACCGCAGGUCAGCAUACUGCGGUGAAUACGUUCCCGGGGAU